AACGCACAUUGCGCCCCUUGGUAUUCCGAGGGGCAUGCCUGUUCGAGCGUCAUUAUCACCCUUCAAGCUCUGCUUGGUGUUGGGGCCUGCUGUUAGGCAGCCCUUAAAAUUAGUGGCAGUGACCAUUAGGCUCUAAGCGUAGUAAUUCUUCUCGCUAUAGCGUCUAGUGGUUCCGCGCCAAAACCCCCAAUUUUUUAUGAUUGACCUCGGAUCAGGUAGGGAUACCCGCUGAACUUAA
rnacentral:misc_RNA from 1 species